GUCCACGCAGUAAACGAUGAUAGCUCGUUGUCGGCGAUACACAGUCGGUGACUUAGAGAAAUCGAUAAGCUAUCCACCUGGGGGAGUACGUUCGCAAGAAUGAAACUCAAAGGAAUUGACGGGGGGCCCGCACAAGCGGAGGAACAUGUGGUUUAAUUCGAUGAUACGCGAGGAACCUUACCCGGGCUUGAAAGUUAUUGACGAUUCUGGAAACAGGAUUUCCCUCGGGGCAAGAAACUAGGUGCUGCAUGGUUGUCGU
rnacentral:rRNA from 1 species